UCCCUGGUGGCUCAGAUGGUAAAGCUUCUGCCUACAAUGCAGGAGACCCAAGUUCGAUCCCUGGAUUGGGAA
rnacentral:tRNA from 1 species